UGUCCUUAAGCAUUCCAUUGUGAUGACGUAACAUGCGUGACCCUCAGAACACACAACCUCGUUCCCAGGCUCUUUGCUCUUGGGAAGCAAAGACCCUGGUCGGAGCUGGUCACGUGACCCAUAGAAAAUUGAUAGCCCAAGAGGGGGAUGGAAAAGCAACCUCGUUCCCAGGCUCUUUGCUUCCCAAGAGCAAAGAGCCUGGGAACGAGGUUGCAGAACACAAUUUUCAACUCGAUUUAAUGAUAAUUUAUUUCCCGCAAAAAUUUUAAUGUUACAUACAUUUAAUAUGAUCAUACAUAUAAAUUUACAGUAAACAAGACGCUUGCUGAGCGUUUCAUACUCGAUCUAAAGAAGUGUUUUUGCUGGUGUUUUUAGAAGUGGAGAGUUUGUAUUUGUAAAUAAUCGUAUUCAGCGUAUUCACAAUUUCACAUCAAGAUUUACUUCAUACAUUUCACAUCUUAAAGUUUUAAUACGAGUUAAUUCAGCGAGCUACUUGUGCCAAACCGAAAAAUCGUGUGUCCACGUAUCUUGUGGCUUAAAAGAACGCGUUUGUUCCCAAGAAUUACCUCGACCGCGCUUCGCCGGAGGUUGAUGAACGAGACUGCUAUUGUUAGCCCUAUUGUACAGGGAGAAUAGUCGCCGAAAUUCAUCGUGACUAGAGGUUGUGGCUUGUUGACUUAGAGCAGGUUUAAUUCAAUUGGACGCACUGUAUUUCCCGUAUUGCUGUUCCUUGCACACCAUCCUUCACUUUCAGCAGAAUUGUGCGUUAAAAUGCUUGCUGCACGGCGUAAUAUUAAAAGUUGCUGCUUCUUGUGAUUUUGAACGGUUCUCAGCCAUUUUAUCCGUAUGCUGAACAGCCGAAGUGACAAUGUUGGAAUAAUUAGAGAUAAUUAAAAUUUAUGCGGGAAAUAAAUUAUCAUUAAAUCGAGUUGAAAAUUGUGUUCUAGCUGAGGGUCACGCAUAAUGUUACGUCAUCACAAUGGAAUGAUUAAGGACAAAAUGCGCAAACAGAAGUGCAAAUGCAAUUGCGAACAUCAAAAUUCAAUUCUUUAAUAUCAAAAUUCAAUUCAUUGAUAUCAAAAAGCACGGAACGAACAACAAAAUCUAGAACUUGGAAUGCAAAAUUCAAACAUUAAUUUUGGCGGUAAUCAGACUAAUCACCCUCCAUAUAUAUCGACAUAAAUUAUUUAAUUAAUAUGAAUAUUCUUAGUAUUUAAGCUUUAGUAUUUUUACACAAGUGAAAUUAACAAAUCCUAUCCAAGCUGAUUGGUUAAAUUUGACGUUGCAAAAUGGCGGCUAGUCGUUUCGUGGAAGUUACUGAUAAAGAAAUAAGCGAAAUUAAAAUAAAUUCAGUUCCAAAAAAACACAAAAGUCUGGUGUAAAAAUACUAAAACAAUUAUUCACCUUCGGCUAAUAAUUGUUAAUGCAUCUUAUCGGUUUCAUCUGAGUCACUGUUGAAGUUGUAGUUCAAAUUUUUACAGAAUAUAAAAUGUUGUUCAGAGAAAGCGUCAAAGCUGCUUCCGUGAAUUUUAAUGCCCUUUUUCUAUUUUCGCCUAUCAAAAUCGCGAAAAUAAAGUCUAGCGAAAUAUUGCCUCCAUCUAUUUGCCUCGAAAAAAUCGCGUAAUUAGAUACGCGCGAAAUUAAGUACGAAUAAGGUAGCUAGUAUACAUAACACCAACACAGGAAAAUUCACAUUACUAGAUUGCAUUGAUAUCGAAGGAACUAGGACUCAGUUCCGAAAUAUCACAUACUCGAACCGACCUCACCGCGU